CGCAGCUUUGUCAAAUUCAGUGUGUUCUCCUCAGUGGACGGCACUGGCCAAAAUAGCUGCCACAGAAACUGUAGCUCACAAGCCCCUCCUCCUAAUUUAGUGGGCUGUGGGGACGAUGAUGUUCUACAGACAUAC